GGUUUUAGCCCGCGGGAUGCUACGUGGCCCCGCCCUCUUCCGGGAGCUGGUGGCGCUUGGGAGACGCGGCCCGUGUUCUGCGUCCGGCGCCCCCUGCCUCACGUCUCCAAUGCUGCGUUUUCUGAGCUGGUUCUCUUAGCUGCAAUAUUGCUGUCCGGCCCUCUGCUUUCAGCUUUAGCAAGGAGGCCACCAUUUGCUCGAACCUAAGUGGCGAAUUCCCCGUCACCCAUGCUUAACCUGGCUUCUGAGGAAAAUCUAUUCAAGAGUGGUGCUAUCCCCAGUACCUGGAAGACUUUGAUAGUUCUGGAUACAAAGCAUGUGAAAAUAUCAAGUAACAUUUCACAUCCUGAUGAAGAGCAUGCUGCUAAAAACACCCCUCUGGAAAGUGGCGACUGUGAUGCUUCCGCAUAUGCCCGAAUUCCGAGAAGAAAUCCCCCAACUAACAGAGGCAAUUCUCCCUGGAAGGCAGGAAUCCCACCAUGGAGAAUCAACAUGCGAUCAGUCACUGUUCUGUAUGAAUGCACAUUUCUCAGGUCUCUGGAGAAUUCGCAGAGAAAUUGUCAGUCCUUCACCAGACUUUAUAGGACUCUUCAGUUUAUGGAAGAGGUUCAGAAAAAGAGCUGAUGCAGGUCUUGGCACUGUGUCAGUCACAGAUGAAGGUGAGAGUGAAUAUGCAUGUUUUGGAACUUCCUGUAUUUUGUUGGUGUAUCUCCUGCAAAGCAUCUUCCAUUUGUUAGUUUUAAAAGUCAGAAUCAAGAACUAUUUAAAAGAUCCGUCCUUGCUGCUUAAGCUCUAUGUUCCCAUAAAAUAGCUGGAUCUAAGCCUAAAAUAUGGAUUUUUAAAAUUCACUUUAGGAUAUCUGUUUGGACUAAGAUGACAAUGCAUUUCUUGGAGGAAAAUGGAUGGCAGUGGAAAGCCUCUUCUGAGCUGACAAAGAACAAAAAUGGCACCCACACCCUUUUGUCUAAAAACAUGACAUCUUCUCAGGCCUUCUGGGUACUGUUUCUUUUUGUUCCUUUUUUUUUUUUUUAAAGCUAAAGGUGAAUUGACAGUGUCUACCCUGAACGUGCACUGUAUUAAGCAUUGCAUUUUCAUAUGUAUAUGAAUGUAUAUUUCAUUUUAUCCUCAAACCUAGAUUGUGAGAUUCAUAUCAUUUUUUUUGGAAAUGAUAUGCUAAUUGUCUUGAAAUUGUCUUGAAUUGCCUUGUCUUGAAAUCUGGGAUUGUUUGUCUUGAAAUUUAGGAUGAUAUAUUUCUUUAUGAAGCAGCUUUUUAAGAAUAACUCAUCAGUGAUCUUGUUCAAGGCUGAACCCUGUUGGUGAGGUUCCCAGUUUGCACAUUUUCUACCUUUGCCUCAGAUGUGAGAUAGCCAGUCUGAAGUCCAGAUACAAGCAUACAUCUUUCUCACUUAAAAACAAUUCUAGACAAAGAAACCCAGUAUUUUAAUGGAAAAGCAUGGGAAAAAAAAUUAUUACAUGAUGCAUGUACAUUGAAAUUCUCCCAGCUAGUACUUUCUCCUUUUUCUCACAGACUUCAUUUUGCUAUUCAAAGCAACAAUUUGCUUAGGGCACAUUUUAUUAGCAUUUGGGUUGAUAAUGUACAGUAUGCAAAUUAGAUAUGAAAGCCACUGUUGCAAAAAAGAAAAAAAAAGCCAAUCUAAUUUAGGAAUCUGAUCUCUAUUUGCAGUUGCUCAUCCAUGUCACCCUGCCCAACAUGUGUCCAUGGGCCAGAUGCAUGAUGCCCUGCAGAGUAUCAUAAUACUCAGUUGUUAAUUUCAUAGUCUACUAUAGCAUCAAAGAAUGGCAGAGGCAGCCCACAAGCAGGAGAAGACAGCUAGCUGUGAAGCAGUUAAAUGCUUGCCUUCCCUUGGUAAAAGAAAUCUUUCUGAGGCAACUCCGCUGACUUCAGAACUUGAAUAUUUAUGCUACAGAGGAAAUCAGCCAUAAAUUUACAUUUUUAGCAGCUAGGUUAUCGCAGGGACGGAAAGGAAGAAUAAUAAUAUUAAAAAAGGAAUUGGACAAUAUAAUCAGUCCUUCACAAAAUCUGGCCCAACUUUAAAAGAUAAUUAUUGAAAAUAGAAGUCCCUUUGUUCCUAAUUAGACAAAGAAUUGUCUUAAUACAAAUUGUUCUUAAAUCCAUCUUUAAUCAAAUUUGUUCAGUGCUUAGCACUCCAUUAUAGUAACAGCUUAUUUAUCUGACUCUGUCAGGGAGUUAGUUGUUCCACAUAAGUGAAUUUCACAGAUAACUGAAACAUACACCCUCAAGUGAAAAAACUUUAGAAAAAUGAACCAUUUUGAUGAAAACACUACUAAAAUGUAUUAUGCAACACCUGCUAUCUUAAAUAGCGUUUGUCAAAUAAUUAAUGCCUUUUCUAAAUGUAGCCAAUAUUUCCCAAGAAGUAACAAAUAGGAACAGAAAUGGGGCAGGGAAUAAAAACGAAGACUCCUCAAAUCUGCCACGGCUGCUGGUUUUGCAAUCACAGGUGUUUCAGUUCUUUGAGUCAUUGUCAUCUGCAACUCUCAAGCUGUCCCUGCUGCUGUGGAGGCAAGAUGUCACUAAGGGGACUGUUGCCUACGGAUGCUUCGUGGCUGGCCCCUGCUUCUGCCACUGUGAAUAAGUGAAGGCUCUGUUACUGCCCCUGGAGGACUCACUGACUCUGGAACCACUUCUCGUGAUGUCUGCAAGCUCCUAUUGUGGUAGGGUCGCAUCUCUGAAGUUACUCUAAGGAAGCGGAGAGAACAUUUUUCCCCUUUUUUGCCUUACUGUGCUUUUGAGGUCUCACGGAGAUCUUGUGUGGAAGCAAGUCUCUCUUUUCUUACUUCCAGCCAAAUCAUUUCUUAAGAAUAGACAAGUUCGUGGGGACUUGGCUGAAGAGCAACAGAAACAACAAACACACUGUGGGGUGCCUCAAAUAAUUUUAUUUUCUUGGAGGCUUAAAGAUUCUUGUUUUCUUAAAAAUAGAUAAUCUAUGCGUACCUCACCAGCCCACCUAAUGUGCCCUCACAUGGCUGAGUCUCAGUGGGAACCCAACUUAAGCUCAAGCCAUUAGGGCAAUAUCUGAGAGGCACAGUUUUUGUGACAAAUCGGCUUUUUUCUGGGUAGCUAACCAGUGGUUAGGUGCUGAGUUCCUUAUUACCUGGCUGUUGCUUUCCUCUUUUAACUCUCCCAAUUCUAAUUGGCUGCUUUCAGUCUAUUAUGAUUUGACAACAGAGAUAACCAAAGUUGGUGGUUCCUUGUAUAAAACAUGAGUCUAUGAAGUAUAAUGAAAGCCCUUAUUGCAGUCGUCUUCAACAUUUUUGAAAUCAUGCAAUUGUUAGCAGCAUAUGGGAAGUGAUCAAAGUUUCCCCAAGCAGUUUUAAAGAUUGGAUUUAACUAUAAUACAAAUAAGACUUCAGUGUAAUGUCUUACAAAACACCCACCACUGUCUUUGUUCUCUUGGACUUAUUUAACCAUGUCGCCACUGUGUUGUUUUCUUUAGAAACAUUUAUUUUCCUCACCCUACUUGCUUACGCUUUUUCAUAUUCUGGUAAACAUAAGACCUUUCUUUGAAAUACAUAGUUUUAAAUAGCUCAUAUUUAUGGAACGGGACCCACUCAGCUCAACCUUCCAUGUGAAAGAUAUCUCUGAAGUUGUACGAUUAUGACCUAUGAUUAUGACCCAUAAUUUUUUUUUUUGAUAUAUAUUUUAUUGCAUUUUAGGUUUUGGGGUACAUGUGAAGAGUAUGCAAGAUUUUGCAUAGGUACACACAUGGCAGUGUGAUUUGCUGCCUUCCUCCCCAUCACCUAUAUCUGGUAUUUCUCCCCAUGCUAUCCCUCCCCAACUCCCCA
ensembl:lincRNA